rnacentral:rRNA from 1 species
GUGCCAGCCGCGCGGUAAUACGGAGGGUGCAAGCGUUAUCCGGAAUCACUGGGUUUAAAGAGUGCGUAGGCGGAAUAAUAAGUCAGAUGUGAAAGGUCACGGCUUAACUGUGGAAUUGCAUUUGAUACUGUUAUUCUUGAAUUGAGAUGAGGUUAGCGGAAUGCGACAUGUAGCGGUGAAAUGCAUAGAUAUGUCGUAGAACACCGAUUGCGAAGGCAGCUAACUGGACUUUGAUUGACGCUGAGGCAUGAAAGCGUGGGGAGCGAACCGGAUUAGAUACCCCGGUAGUCC